GGGUAGCUCAGUGGUAGAGCAUUUGCCUUGCAUGCAUAAGGUCUGCCGGUUCAAUCCCAUGUGUCUGCA